rnacentral:rRNA from 1 species
UACGGAGGGUGCGAGCGUUGUUCGGAAUCACUGGGCGUAAAGGGCGUGUAGGCGGCCUGCUAAGUCUGAUGUGAAAGCCCGGGGCUCACCCCCGGAAGGGCAUUGGAUACUGGCAGGCUCGAGUCCCGGAGAGGAGGGUGGAAUUCCUGGUGUAGCGGUGAAAUGCGUAGAUAUUGGGAGGAACACCAGUGGCGAAGGCGGCUCACUGGACCGGUACUGACGCUGAUGCGCGAAAGCGUGGGGAGCAAACGGG